rnacentral:rRNA from 1 species
AUUGAACGCUGGCGGCAGGCCUAACACAUGCAAGUCGAGCGGAUGAAGGGAGCUUGCUCCUGGAUUCAGCGGCGGAAGGGUGAGUAAUGCCUAGGAAUCUGCCUGGUAGUGGGGGAUAACGUCCGGAAACGGGCGCUAAUACCGCCUACGUCCUGCGGGAGAAAGUGGGGGAUCUUCGGACCUCACGCUAUCAGAUGAGCCUAGGUCGGAUUAGCUAGUUGGUGGGGUAAAGGCCUACCAAGGCGACGAUCCGUAACUGGUCUGAGAGGAUGAUCAGUCACACUGGAACUGGGACACGGACCAGACUCCUACGGGAGGCAGCAGUGGGGAAUAGUGGACAAUGGGCGAAAGCCUGAUCCAGCCAGGCCGCGUGUGUGAAGAAGGUCUUCGGAGUGUAAAGCACUUUAAGUUGGGAGGAAGGGCAGUAAGUUAAUACCUUGCUGGUUUGACGUUACCAACAGAAUAAGCACCGGCUAACUUCGUG